rnacentral:rRNA from 1 species
CUUGCUCCCUGAGAUUAGCGGCGGACGGGUGAGUAACACGUGGGUAACCUGCCUGUAAGAUUGGGAUAACUCCGGGAAACCGGAGCUAAUACCGGAUAACAUUUUGAACCGCAUGGUUCAAAAUUGAAAGACGGCUUUUAGCUGUCACUUACAGAUGGACCCGCGGCGCAUUAGCUAGUUGGUGAGGUAACGGCUCACCAAGGCGACGAUGCGUAGCCGACCUGAGAGGGUGAUCGGCCACACUGGGACUGAGACACGGCCCAGACUCCUACGGGAGGCAGCAGUAGGGAAUCUUCCGCAAUGGACAAAAGUCUGACGGAGCAACGCCGCGUGAACGAUGAAGGCCUUCGGGUCGUAAAGUUCUGUUGUUAGGGAAGAACAAGUACCAGAGUAACUGCUGGUACCUUGACGGUACCUAACCAGAAAGCCACGGCUAACUACGUGCCAGCAGCCGCGGUAAUACGUAGGUGGCAAGCGUUGUCCGGAAUUAUUGGGCGUAAAGCGCGCGCAGGCGGUUUCUUAAGUCUGAUGAGAAAGCCCACGGCUCAACCGUGGAGGGUCAUUGGAAACUGGGAAACUUGAGUGCAGAAGAGGAGAGUGGAAUUCCACGUGUAGCGGUGAAAUGCGUAGAGAUGUGGAGGAACACCAGUGGCGAAGGCGACUCUCUGGACUGUAGCUGACGCUGAGGCGCGAAAGCGUGGGGAGCGAACAGGAUUAGAUACCCUGGUAGUCCACGCCGUAAACGAUGAGUGCUAAGUGUUAGAGGGUUUCCGCCCUUUAGUGCUGCAGCAAACGCAUUAAGCACUACCGCAUGGGA